rnacentral:rRNA from 1 species
UGGGGGAUAUUGGACAAUGGGCGAAAGCCUGAUCCAGCAAUGCCGCGUGAGUGAUGAAGGCCCUCGGGUCGUAAAGCUCUUUUACCAGGGAUGAUAAUGACAGUACCUGGAGAAUAAGCUCCGGCUAACUCCGUGCCAGCAGCCGCGGUAACACGGAGGGAGCUAGCGUUGUUCGGAAUUACUGGGCGUAAAGCGCGCGUAGGCGGCUACUCAAGUCAGAGGUGAAAGCCCGGGGCUCAACCCCGGAACUGCCUUUGAAACUAGGUGGCUAGAAUCUUGGAGAGGUCAGUGGAAUUCCGAGUGUAGAGGUGAAAUUCGUAGAUAUUCGGAAGAACACCAGUGGCGAAGGCGACUGACUGGACAAGUAUUGACGCUGAGGUGCGAAAGCGUGGGGAGCAAACA